rnacentral:ncRNA from 1 species
UUGACAGCUCUUCCGCUAACUUCCCUCUGUGUGAUGCAGGGGUGCAUGAUGACAUAGCAAGGGGAGCAU